rnacentral:lncRNA from 1 species
UUUUAAGUCACAAAAAUGAUUUCUUCCCUUUCUUCAUUUCACGAAGAGGUUCUGUGGUUCAAUUAUUUCUCAGACUGUGACUUUGAUUAUGUAGGAAAUAGUUCCACUACCUGCUUGAAACAGAAACCUAGUAGAAGAGACUCAAAAGGUCAUCAUCACACUGCAAUGUUUGAGAUCAGCACUAGACAAAUCUCAUUGGAAAAGAAAACCUAACACACCCUAUGAGUUUCUUAUAUGCAAAAAUCUCCCCAGUUCAGAAAUUU